rnacentral:rRNA from 1 species
AGUGAACGCUGGCGGUAGGCCUAACACAUGCAAGUCGAACGGCAGCACAGUAAGAGCUUGCCCUUACGGGUGGCGAGUGGCGGACGGGUGAGGAAUACAUCGGAAUCUACUUUUUCGUGGGGGAUAACGUAGGGAAACUUACGCUAAUACCGCAUACGACCUACGGGUGAAAGCAGGGGAUCUUCGGACCUUGCGCGAUUGAAUGAGCCGAUGUCGGAUUAGCUAGUUGGCGGGGUAAAGGCCCACCAAGGCGACGAUCCGUAGCUGGUCUGAGAGGAUGAUCAGCCACACUGGAGCUGAGACACGGUCCAGACUCCUACGGGAGGCAGCAGUGGGGAAUAUUGGACAAUGGGCGCAAGCCUGAUCCAGCCAUACCGCGUGGGUGAAGAAGGCCUUCGGGUUGUAAAGCCCUUUUGUUGGGAAAGAAAAGCAGCAGGUUAAUACCCCGCUGUUCUGACGGUACCCAAAGAAUAAGCACCGGCCAACUUCGUG